rnacentral:rRNA from 1 species
GACGAACGCUGGCGGCGUGCUUAACACAUGCAAGUCGAACGGAAAGGCCCUGCUUUUGUGGGGUGCUCGAGUGGCGAACGGGUGAGUAACACGUGAGUAACCUGCCCUUGACUUUGGGAUAACUUCAGGAAACUGGGGCUAAUACCGGAUAGGAGCUCCUGCUGCAUGGUGGGGGUUGGAAAGUUUCGGCGGUUGGGGAUGGACUCGCGGCUUAUCAGCUUGUUGGUGGGGUAGUGGCUUACCAAGGCUUUGACGGGUAGCCGGCCUGAGAGGGUGACCGGCCACAUUGGUACUGAGAUACGGCCCAGACUCCUACGGGAGGCAGCAGUGGGGAAUAUUGCACAAUGGGCGGAAGCCUGAUGCAGCAACGCCGCGUGCGGGAUGACGGCCUUCGGGUUGUAAACCGCUUUCGCCUGUGACGAAGCGUGAGUGACGGUAAUGAGUAAAGAAGCACCGGCUAACUACGUG